GCCUUGCACACUUAGUCACAUUUCUGUUUCUUUUCAGAGGACAAAGCUUACACAUAUGUGUGGUCCCCCACCACACACCACCCAAGGAUGGAGUACACUGUAAGUUCACACUGGCUGCUGACUGAAUCAAAGUUGGAACUGUUGUUCUUACUCACCUCAUCAAGCUCACCACUGGAUCUCAAUUCUCUAGGCUGAAACAGCAGUCCUCCUUGACGAUAGUGUAAUUGUGAGUUAUCUCAGCCACUCUUCUUCACACUCACAAUAUAAUAAUAUGAUCUCAGAAUAGCUACAUCAAUAUCACCACCAACAAUGAUUAUUGAAAAGAGGUAAAGAAUUUCCCCAGUUCUUAUCUAACCUGGUAGGGAGAUCAGUAGACCUUCUGGCUUUUCUUCUCUGUGUGCCCAUGCUACCUGAUCAACAGCUUGUCAAUUUCAUGGUUUUCAGUUUCCUUUUGAUUUUUAAGAAUUGCCUUUCUAACUGUGGUUUUGUUUAAGGCCAUGUUAAGUAUCACACGAGCUCGUGUCAAUGUACGUGGUGAAGCACGCUCAGGGAAGAGUCGCUUCUCUCCUGCCUUUUGUGUCUCUUCCUUCCAUUCGUCUUCCAGGUGCUUUUUUAAAAUAUUAAAACCAAACACAUUUGCAUAGAUACACAUGUGUGUUUACAUGCACAAAACUUCCCUUCUGAGCAGGUAAAUAUACUAUAAGUAAAGCACGUGGAAACAUUCCUGCUGCUUCCCACAGCCCUAAGUGACCCAUUGUGAGGAUGUCCCAUGGUUUACUCAGCAAGACCUAUUGCAGGACACUGGCCCUUCCCAUUCCUCCCCAUCAAACCUGCAAGGAACAAGUGUGUAUGUACAAAGUGCUUUGCGGGAUCCAUUCCUGGGAAUGAGAUUCCUUGGUCAAAGAUAAAUACAUGCAUCAUUGUGCUAAUAUGCUCAAUUCCCUUUUAUUAGGUUAAUGUCACUUUUCUAUUUUCAUCAAUGUGUGAUACUUGGUGUUUUUUCCCUAUUUUGUUUUACUAUUCUCUUAUUUUGCUAAGGUAGGGAAGGGAUAGGACGCUGAAAAUAAGUAUAAUAAAUAUUAC
rnacentral:lncRNA from 1 species